UACGUAGGGUGCAAGCGUUGUUCGGAAUUACUGGGCGUAAAGGGCUCGUAGGCGGCCAACUAAGUCAGACGUGAAAUCCCUCGGCUUAACCGGGGAACUGCGUCUGAUACUGGAUGGCUUGAGUUUGGGAGAGGGAUGCGGAAUUCCAGGUGUAGCGGUGAAAUGCGUAGAUAUCUGGAGGAACACCGGUGGCGAAGGCGGCAUCCUGGACCAACACUGACGCUGAGUGAGCGAAAGCCAGGGGAGCAAACGGG
rnacentral:rRNA from 1 species